ACAGUCUAGUUUAGUGUAGAUCGCGGGUCUCGUGCCUAUUGCAAUUCGCGCACAAGGUCACAUUCCAUCGACGCGCCGGCUAUGCGCAUCUAUUGCUUUCUUAUCACAAACUGCCGCAUCGUUGCUUGCACAGUUUGCAGCCAGUUUUGUGCCGGUCUCUGGUUGGUCCGGACGUAUUUUACGGGACACGUAUUGUUUGUUCGGUCUUCUAUGUUCCAAAUUUGCAUUAUAUUCGAUCAUCAAUUGACUAUUUAAUUUUAACUUGCGCGUUUAUUGUCCGACCGGUUUUGAUCGCGCGAAAGUGUAUAUUGCAACUCGCAUGGUCUCGGGUUGCUAGGUGAAUCGCCCCCAUAUAGAUUAAUUCAUCAUUAGGAUGACCCAUCGUGCUGGUUAUUUGCCGUGUCUACCGGAGUCCAUGAGUUGUGCAUUGCACUCGUUGUGCCUGUUAGUCCGAUAAGCUGUACACUGGUAAGUUCAUAAUUCAAUUAUAUUUUUUGGUCCAAUUUACAUUUGCUGUUUAUAAACAACGAACUACCUACCUGCAGGGCCGAUGAGACUGGGAUAAAUUCCCCGGGGCCCGGCUGAUCGCUCUUAAAUCGCAAUCACAAAAAAAUAGCAAAAAUUGACGAUUGCCGGAGCCCGCGGCUUUUUCCCGGGGCCCGCGCUGGUUCUCGACGGCCAUGUCUGUAUCUCCCUGUAUUGAAAUUUAUUGCAAGAAAAUUCCGUAACGCGAGUUAUAUUGAAAGUUGUGUGUGUGCGCCGUAGUAGGUACUCGUUGCUCUCGGAAUUAUAGUUUUUUUAGAGUAACACGCGAACGCGGUGUCAGAGUUAGUACGGAAUAAUUUUCACUGAUGCAUAAUUUAAUUCUGCAUUCCUCUGUAUCAAAAAUUAUUGCGAAGAAAUUCCGUAACGCGAGUUAUAUUGAAAGUUGUGUGUGUGCGCCGUAGUAAUCGUUGCGCUAGGAAUUGUAGUUUUUUUUAGUGUAACACGCGAACGCGGUGUCAGAGUUAGUUCUGAAUAAUUUUCCCAGAUGCGGAAUUGAAUCCUGUAUCACCCUGUAUUAAAAUUUAAUCCAAAGAAAUUCCGUAACGCGAGUUAUAUUGAAUGUUGUGUGUGUGCGCCGUAGUAGUCAUUGCGCUAGGAAUUGUAGUUUUUUUUAGUGUAACACUCGAACGCGGUGUUAGAGUUAGUUCGGAAUACUUUUCCCAGAUGCGGAAUUGAAUUCUGUAUUUCUCUGUAUUGAAAAUUAUUGCGAAGAAAUUCCGUAACGCGAGUUAUAUUGAAUGUUGUGUGUGUGCGCCGUAGUACUCGUUGCGCUUGGAAUUGUAGUUUUUUUUUAGUAGAACACGCGAACACAGUGUUAGAGUUAGCUCUAAAUAAUUUUCCCAGAUGCGUAAUUGUGACUCGUGUUUAGCGCACCUUACGAAGGUAGCGGUAGAAGUGACUCGUGUUCAGGGCACCGUACGAAGGUAGCGGUAGAAGUGACUCGUGUUCAGGGCACCCUACGAAGGUAUACAUAUUUUGCCUAUUUUAAUACUUUAUCUUAUAAGGAAUAUUUAAAUUAGUCGCGGUGUUGUAAACAUCAAUUAUUGAAUUAACUAAGGUAUACAGUAAACUUAUACGAAGACAAUUGAAAACAAUAAAUUAUUUAUUUGUAUUGGUAAAUUACAAAUUCCUGUUUAUCUUCAUCCUUAUUGCAUCUCAAAACCAAUAUAUUCUAUUCUUAUGCCUAGAAAUAUUGAAAGUAAAAGUAGAUUUCGGGUAUGUGUGUUAUUUCAAUAUUGUGAAUUUUUACUUUCGUCUUCUCAACUACGUGUUUACCACUACGUUUGUGUAUAAACAACUUUUUUUGUUCAACUGACGCUACGUACGCUAUCGCACAACCUGGUUUCGCACACCGCACACGGCAGUAGUUUCACCGCGUGGUCCGCGAACGCGUGUCUCUAACCGCCACGCGUUUUCAGACUUCAAUUAUUCAAUUAAUCGUCGUGCAUUCUUUUCGUUAUCAGCAAAAUAUUCGUAUCGAGCAUGUGUGCUUGUUUUGUUUGUUUGUUUGUUAUGGCGGUUAGAGUGUUCUUAAGUGAGAAAUAAGUGUCCGAUAAUCUCUGCGCGAGUUUUCAGUUGAUAAGAUAUAUGCCUGGAUCUAAAAUUUCUUUUUCAAUGCACUGGUAGGUGUUUAAUCACUUUUUUACGCGGAAAGUUAAGACGGUUUAACUUAAAUUGAUUAUUCCAUUUGAGGGAUAUUAAUUUUGCAGAUUACAAACACAUGGUAGCAUUUUUAUCAGAAUUCUUAGUCCUGUUUCCGAACAUAACAUGCAUAAUUUAAUUAUUACAAACACUGUGUUAAAAAAUAUCUGAGGAUUAUUAAAAUGACAAUAUUCAUGUGGUCGACCACGCUCACUUUGCCGUCGACCGUCGGCUCGUUCCUCUUUUCGCUGAACGUUUUUAAUCGAAUUUCACUCCUUAUCAUCAUUAAAUUAAAAAGUUUCUUGUUGAUCUAAUAAAAUCUUAUACCAUGAAUAGUUUUUCGUUAUUUUUAUCGUAUUUACCUACUGUACUCGUAUAACCACGCGUCGUUGCUUGCCGUCUGCUGAUUUGGAUGUUUUCCGCCUGAUGUUCUAUCAAUUUAUGAUGAUGCUUCACCCGUCGGUUACUUUAUGCAGUUGAUGCUAUCAACUGAUAAAUAUAUACACAAUAUAUUAAAAUGUAAGUGUUUUAUUCUUGUUGCAACUUUUUUACUUAACUUUUCCGAUCGUUUUCGGGUAAAAUCUUUGAAUUUAUGUUAAAAUAUAGUUGUUUCGGUAUAAAUUUCUCUUGUCACGAUGUGAAUGUUGAUCAUAUUUGUAGUUUUUAAAACUUUCCUUUUGUAACACUUAUAUAUUUGUUUUCCUAACAGUACUUUAGUAAAUCGUCUUUAUUUGUGAGUUUUGAGUGUUCUUUGUUUUAAACUUAGAAUUUUCCUUUUGGAACACCCUGUAUAUUUGCUUUUCUUUGUGUCCGUGAAAACUUUCCUUCAGUUGUGGUUUUAGAGAUUUUUUUGCAUUUUAAGUUUUUUUGUAACACCCUGUUUAUUAGUUUCCCGGAGCAUCGGGUGAAAACAAGCAAUAUUUGUAGUGUUUAGAUGUUUUCCUCUUUGAUGGUUGAAUUUUCUAUUUGUGACACCUUGUAUAAUCGUUUUUCUUCACAUCCCUGAAAAUUUUGCUUUGAGUGUUAUUAGAAUUUAACUUCUUGCACUUUGAAUUUUCUUUUUGUAACGCCCUGUAUAUUUGUUUCCCAGGGUAACCGUGGAAAACUAGCGAUAUUUGAAUGUUUAGAUGUUUUCCUGUCUGCACUUAAUUUUCUGUAACCCCCCGGUAUAUUUGUUUCCAUUUUCAAUCACGAUGAAAAUUGACUUUGCUAAUUGCUUUAUCCUGCUAGAACUUCACUUAGUGAUACGCGAUUGUUUGCGCGGCUAAGCAGGUCGUAAUUCCAAUUUCAAUAUGGCGGCAUGAAUUCAGUUGACUUGUAUUAUUUUACAUUGUAUUUAUUAAUAAAGAAAUGUAAAGAAA